UACGUAGGGUGCAAGCGUUGUCCAGAAUUAUUGGGCGUAAAGAGCUCGUAGGCGGUUUGUCGCGUCGAAUGUGAAAACCCGGGGCUUAACCCCGGGCCUGCAGUGGGUACGGGCAGACUAGAGUGCGGUAGGGGAGAUUGGAAUUCCUGGUGUAGCGGUGAAAUGCGCAGAUAUCAGGAGGAACACCGGUGGCGAAGGCGGGUCUCUGGGCCGAUACUGACGCUGAGGAGCGAAAGCGUGGGGAGCGAACAGG
rnacentral:rRNA from 1 species